AAAAAAAAAAAAAAACUGAUCAACCUGUAUUUCUUGGAUGCUCAAAAGUUACUAACUGAAGCAGAAUAUUGUAUUGAGGGACAUACCAUGAAGAAAGGGGUUUAUCAAGCCUCAAUUAGUUGUUUAGUGUAAGUUUACUGUGAAGGUGACUUCUUGGACUUGAUUUUACCUGAACACUAAACCUUUAUUUUGUUGAUACUUCAAUUUUUUAAUGUUUGUAGAAUAGGCAGAUGAAUAAUCAUCAACUCAAAAUCCAGUUAACUUGGCAUAUCUCUGUUUUCCCCUCGCUGGGAAUCUCAUGGCAAUUAAGCUCAGAGGUACGCCAAUUUUCAUCGAGUUCCUUGAGAUUUUGUCACAAUUAGAUGCAUAUGUAAGGCUUGAGAAGGAUACCUUUUCAUGUCAUGUGAAGUUGUUAGAACCUAUUUCAGUAACUCUUGCAUUUUCCAUUCAGCUCUUUAGCAUCUUACUUCUGAUAGACAGCACUCUACACAGUUUUGAGGGUUGAUUUCUCACUUGAUCAGUAAUUAGUUAUUAUCUCAGAAAGUCUACUUUCUUCUUAAUCCCGAUAUUCUACUACAAAGAAAGUGACUUUCUGAGAUAACAAUCUUUAAUUGAGUGACCAUCUGAGAAAUCAACUCCAGUUUUGAUGUUAAACUAAGCUACCUCUUCUUAAACUGUAGAGGAAUUACACUAUGAGUUUUGGUUGAUUCAUUACUCCUUGGUUGGAAAAUAUGUCUUAUGUCUACGUUUUCUGUUUGAUUAUUCUGAGAAGUAGAUAUGCACAAAUUGUUGUGGCAGUGUGCUAAUCAAUUUCUAAACAACUUAAUUAUAACUUCAGUUUCUAAAGAACUUAUGUCUCGCCAGAGAUAAGUUUAGUUGUUGAAUGACAAAUAUUAAAAAUCAGUUCAUUUUAAGAGCAAUUGUGCAAUUUCAAUGAAAUAUACAUCAAUUAUUCCAUAAAUAGCGUUCACCGACCACUUUUCAGUCUAUUUUUGAAAAAUUAUCAUUGAGGUAUAUACAUCAAAGGUCAAUUGGGCUUCAACUACUUUCAUAAAUAGUGUCCAUUGGCCAUUUUUGAAUCAUAUCUUCAAAAAUUGUUUAUUUGUAUAUUUUACACCUCGAUAUGUGAAAAAGGAAGAAGGAAAACUUGGAUCACACUACCUCUAAAAAAACGUUUUGACUUAUACAAACGCAAUAAUUACUCACAGCCCCAAUAUAUAUUUUUAGUAUUAAUAAUACUGUCGUCAUCUUCCUAGAAAAUUCAAAAUAGCUAAAAUUGAAAUGUCAACUCAUGUCAUGCCACGUGUUCAAUCAUAUUAUAAGGGAAGAAGGAUAGAAAGUCUGCAAAAGAAUAUGCAAGUCAAUACUCGAUUCAACCCGUAGCGAGCAGUAAAACAUACACCAAUUUUGAUGUUCUUACUCGGUAUUUGAUAUUCAUUUUGAGGUUCAUUAAUUUAGAGUUGUGUCGAAAUGUCUCACUUUGGAGCUAGGUAAAAUGCUUCUUAUCAAAGGUGACUCUCUACUCAGAGCUCAAUCUGAAAUCUUUAGUUAGAAAUGAAGAAAUACUUAUCAUGAUUGUAAAACAUACAUACAAAUGCACGCGUGCUACAUAUAUUAUUAUCAGUCGUAAGCAAUUACUUUAAAAGAUUCAUGAGCCUGCAACUUGUACUACAAUAAUAAUAUGGCCAAUCUGCUUUAUAAUUAGUUGAAAAGUUCAAACAUCAUCAGGAUAACUAACUGUAAUAAGUUUGUAACAUAUAUUAGGAGACAUUAAAUAAGUACAUCUAGAUUUCCUUAAAGCUUGACUUGAAUAAGGUUGUGUUUGGUAUGACAAUUUUUUAUUUUUUUUAAUAAUUGUGGUAUGUUGAGCGCUAUUUGUGUGCACUUUGAUUAGUUUCAGGAGAUACGUGUCACCUUUCACCAUUAACAGGUAUCAGGUAACAUGGAAGUUGAUGAUUAAUUUUCUUUAAAAUGUUUGCUAAGCUCAUAUUUUAGCGUGUGGUUGAUUAUCAAAUUAAAAAUCAUUUUUUUAUAUAGAAAUUAGUUAUGCAAGAUUUAGUUAUUCCAUCUUUAUCAUGCAUAAUAUAAUAAACAUAAAUUUUUCUUUUAACUUAUACAUGUACUCUCUAAUCUCUAUGUUUCAAUUUGUUUGUAUUAUUUUGAUUUGAUAUGGAGUUUAAAAAAGUAAAGAAGAAUUUUGAAUCUUAUACGUGGAUUAUGGUCUUACAUUAAAGAUGUAUCAAAUGUACCAAAAUAUCUUUAAUCUUAUAGUUGAAAUUAAAUAAUUGCUAAAAAAAAUAGAAGCAUUAUUUUUAAAUGGAUUAAAAAGGAAAGUAGGAUAAAUAAAUUGAAUCAAAGGUAUUAGAUAUGCGGACUUCUAAACCGAACACCAUAUUAAUUUUAUACUAAGUAAAAGAGUACUGCCAAAUGUUAUAAGUAUUACUUAUGUAAAAUGUAAUACUCCUAACUAGCUACUAAAAAAGGACAUGCAUAUUUUACUUCCUAACUAGCUACUAAACGAUUACACUAAUAAUAAUCAAUAUUUAAAAAAAUAAUCAUAAAAACACUCUCCAAUUUUCAAUAGAAUAUCUAGUACCACGGGGACUGAAAUAUUUUUAAGUUCCCUGUUGUGAGAUGCGAACCUAGAAUUAAAAUUUUGAUUUUAUGUGGUCCUGGUUUGUCAUUUCCAUAAUUUAUUUAAUUAAUCCUUGUGUUCAAAGCAUAUUGUUUGUACUUACUCUCAAUUUAUUUUUUACAUACCACGUUUCACUUUAUAAGAUUCAAUUUAACUAAUUUUCUUCAUCGUGCCAAACACACUCUAAUUACGAUAAAACUUGUGAAGAGUUUAAUCAAAAUUUCGAACAACACAUCAAGAGAUUUCAAGUCUACAUUAUUAUGCUCAUAUUUCUAUGUGUGUUGUGUGAAAUACAGAUAACUUGCUAUGUAUAUGAUAUGAUACUAUAAUACAUGUAUAAUUUAUAAACUAUAAUAUAUAGUAAUAAAUGAACAGAAAGGAAACGUAUAGUUGAAUGAAUGAAAUUAAAUGAACUUCCUUAAGGUCUUCUCCUAACAUGUGCGAAGCCCGAGCUAUGGCGACUGCAUCUCCAACUUUUAUUCAUAUUAUUAUAUUAUCCCCUCCUAUACUUUUUCGCUGUCAUGCUUACUAAAAAUAGUUGAUCCAAAAUAAUUGUGAUUUUAGAAAAUUACAAUAGAUUUUAAUUUUUAGCUAGUUUUCUUAUUUAUUUUCACUGAAUAAAUAUGGGGAGUAAUUAAUCUAUUGAAAAAGAAGAAAUAACUUAGUCCAAUUACCUUUUUAGUUAAUAUUUUUUUAAAAAAAACAUACAAAAGAAAAACAUGACAAGUAAAAUAAAGAGAUAAGUAUUGAAAACACCCCUGAACUUGCGCAAAUUAUUAGUUUCAUACCCAAACUAUUGACGGCCUUAAAAACAUCCCUCUACUUGACUAACUAAACUUAGAUACACCCUCGAUCUGUCACAUGACAUAACAAAUGGUCUCAAACUCUUAUAGCAGCAUUAAAUCUUAAUAAAAAGCCAAGAGAAAAGUUGAAAACACCUCUAAACUUGGCGAGAGUUUAGGAGUGUGUUAAUUUCUUGCAUAUUGCAAGAUUGAGUGUUUAUAAAUUCAGUUAGUCAAGUAAAAAAGAUAUUUUUAAGCUAUCAAUAGUUUAAAGAUAAAACUAAUAAUUUAUGUCGAAUUUAUGGAUAUUUUCAAUACUUCUCUCUAAAAUAAAUCGAAAGAAAUACAUGAAAAACCCUAAACCUAAACCUUGACCCGUGGAUCCUACUUUUAUUAAAAAUAUUAAACCCUGUUAAUAAUUCAUAAUUAAAUAUGGAGUUUGCGAAUCCCGAGGAGGUUUUGUAGCUGUUUUUCGCUACAGUUUGCUUUAGAAACAAUCAAACGUCCCGUUAUUUAUUUCGUCGGGAUCAUUUACGUAUUUAUUUAUUUGUGCAAAAGUGCAUGGCAAGUCUCCAAAAUUGAAAUUGAACCCGGAAUUCAUGCACCAUACAAGUGAUAAAGUGGAUGCAAAUAUUGAGAUUUUUUUAUUAUUUUUUUUUAAUAUUGAGAUUAUUCAACGCUUAAAUCGAAGGUCGGUUUUUCCUUUAUUUUUUUGGAUCAAUUUUGUCCGUCAGAUUUUUGCAUGGUUUGUAAUAGUAUAGAAAUAACUUAAUAUUAAAAUUACUUUUUUACCAUCAAAAAAUAAUAAUUUGUAGUCAUACAAAUAGUUAAGAUUUGUAUUAGAUUACAAAUUUCGUUCUUAUAUGUGCCUAAUCAAACAAUAUCAUAUAAUUUGGAAACAAAAAUUAAAGUAAUACACUUCCUCUGUCCAACAAUACUUGUCAACUAUUGACUUUGCACACUUCUUAAGAAACUAUAAAUAGAAGUUUAAUUUUACUAUAUCAACCCUUUGAAUAUUAUAAAUACAAUGUCUUGAAAAAUGUAAUAGAGAAAUGACUAUAAUUAUGAACUAAGUGUAAAAUUAUCCAUUUAUUUUAUAAAGUAGACAAUUAUUGUUGGACAUCCCAAAAUAUUAUAAUAGACAUUGGACAACUAUUGUUGGAAAGAGUGAGUAACUGAUCAUUUGUCUAAUUUUAGGUGAACAAAGUUGAUAUUCAGUGAAAUGGUCGCUCAAACUAGUAGUCUAUUAAAUGGAAUAGCUAGCUAAUUACGUGCAAUUAGUUGGAAAUUAACCGGUAUUCAUGCAUGCAUAUAUAUAUAUAUAUAUAUAUAAUCCUAUGUAUAUUUAGGCUUUAGCUAGCUAGUAUAUCAGUUGAAUAUUUGCUACUAUGUCCCUAAUUACUUGUCCACUUUUGAAUUGACACACCAAUUAAGAAAAUAAUAAUUGACAUAGUAAGUUUACCAUUUUACCUGUAUUAAUUAUGAAGUGGAAUGAAUUAAAAACUUAAAAAUUUUCAAAAAAGUUUUACCUUUUUCAAAGUAAUUAAUUAAGGAUAUAAUAGGUAAAAAAAUUGUCUUUUCUUGAUUUGUCAAAAUGAACAAGUAAUUAGGAACAACUAAAAAAGGAAAUAUUGACAAGUAAUUAAGGACAGAGGGAGUAUAUUGCUUCUUAUGCUCCCAAUAACAGUAGCUAGAGCUAGCUGGCAAAUUCCAUGCAAAUGAUUGAAUUCUUUUUCUGAAGGGAUAAGAGACCUACGUACCUAGUCUACUUUAAUGUAUAGAGAUUGUAUUGUUGCGUAAAUUCACAUUUGCAACUUGAUAUAAGUGAAAUAAGGACUAUCGCCUUAUAUGCAUGCGCGUGCGCAUAGACAAAUUUUGGGGGUUAUCCUAGCGCGGAUUUACUCUAUAAUGGGCGAGUGCAGUAGUGAAUGCAUUAUUUUGUAUUUGAAACCUUAAGGGAGUUCAAGGGAUAUAUUCAAAAUCCAUAUAUACUUUAUAUGUACCGUGUAAUUUUUUAUUUAGGGGGUUCGAGUGAACACAUGACAACCCCUAGAUCUGCCCCAAGUUGGGUGGGAUUAAACGAAUUCAAUAGCUUUCGACUCAAACGUUGUAUAUCAUGUGUGUGUUUUCUUUCCAAAAAACCACACUUAUUAAUUAAUAGGUACAAACAUUAAGUACUUUUUUUGUAAGCAAAUUAUUUUUAGUCAACCAACCAAACUACUAAUUAAGAAUCUCUCACAAACAAUAAGUUAACUCUAAACACAAAGAAUUCAAUGAAUUGCGGGACUAGAAAAUUCAGAGCCCAUAAAAUUUAAAAAAUAUUUCAAUCCCCACAUAUGUUGUCCUAUAUUCUACAUUCACUAACUUGCAAUUUACUUAAGCUUUAAGAGUUUGCGCGGGCGGCGUUAACGGCCGUCAACUUUCCCUCCUCACAUGAAUUUCACAAUACCUGAUCGUUGACAUUAUAUACUACAGUUGGAGAAAAAAAGCAUAUUAUAUAUAUAUAUAUAAGGCCAUUUCAAUCAAAAUUAAGAAAGCUCCAGCAACUGAAAUACACAAACUUAAGAGAUCGUGGGAAUUAAUAAUCAAGAAGAAGAUCAAUCGAGUUUAACUAUAUGGCAUCAUCAUCAAAUGGUGGUGUUCCACCGGGGUUUCGAUUUCAUCCAACAGAGGAAGAGCUUCUUCAUUAUUACUUGAAGAAGAAGCUUUCAUUUCAUAAGUUUGAUAUGGAGGUUAUCAGAGAGAUUGACUUGAAUAAGAUUGAGCCAUGGGAAUUACAAGGUACGCACAUAUUAUUAUUAGCUACGGAUUUAGUCGUUGUUGAAUAACUUGUAGCUAAUAGAAUUUUUCAAAUAAUUCAUCGCUAAUCUAUUUAUAUUGAUGUUAAUUAUUAGCUACAUAAUUUAUCCGUCCCUAAAGUAAAUUUUCAAUUAGUUAUUGUUCAAAAUUGAUUUUAAAAAUUGAUUAGUUUAACACAAACUAAUUCUCACCAAACAAAUUAUUUAUCAUUUGAUAGUUUAUAUUCUUGGAUAAUUAAGUAAAACGAGAUUAAAAUUAUAAAAUAUAUAAUCUCUCUUAUUUAAAAGCUUUAAGUACUUAUAAACAAAUUAUAUUUUUAUUUAUUUAAUUAAGGGAAAAAGGACAAAUAUAUCCUCUGAACUAGCGUAAAUGGUAUGCAGAUACCCUCCGUCAUACUUUUGGAACAUUGGUGCCCUUGCUGUAAAAAAACUAGAACAUAUAUACCCUUUAUACUAACAGACAUACGUGUGUUAUAAUCUUAUCCACCGUCCACCGACCCGACAUAAUAUCGAAUCGACGGAUAAGAUAGCACCAUGUGUCCUUAUUUAGUCUUCCAUUGGAGUGAAGGGCAUAUAUGCUCUAGUUUUUGGACGGCAUGGACAACAAUGUCCCAAAAGUAUGACAGAUGGUAUCUGUAUACCAUUUACGAUAGUUCAUGGGUAUUCCUUUUUUCUGUUUAAUUAAUUAUAUUUUCAACAUGACUAGUGUGAAUCGAUAUGAGACAUGAAUUUAAGUAGUAACUAGAGAAAUGAUUUGGUUAUUUAUGUGUUAAUAUUUGAUGAUAAUUCAGAGAGGUGCAAUAUUGGAUCGACGCCGCAGAAUGAGUGGUACUUUUUCAGCCAUAAGGAUAGGAAGUACCCAACAGGUUCAAGGACAAACAGGGCAACAAAUGCGGGGUUUUGGAAGGCUACAGGGAGGGACAAGUGCAUAAGGAACAGCUUCAAGAAAAUUGGUAUGAGGAAAACCCUUGUGUUUUAUCGAGGAAGAGCUCCACAUGGACAAAAAACUGAUUGGAUUAUGCAUGAGUACAGACUUGAAGAUGCUGACCAAAAUCAAACUGUAAGUUAACAUGAAAUUAACUACGAAAUUUAUCGAUUAAUUUGCAGUUAAAUAGCUUCGAGAUAAAUAGAUUUUCUUAUAAUUUGGAACUAUAUGAAAUUUUGUCACUAUAUGUAUCUCCCUUUUCUACUUUCCCCUAAAAUGGCCUCUCAUCAAGGGGGAACAAAAAGAAAGGAGUUUGUUUUUUUUUUAAAAUAAUUUAAAAAGAAAAAGGAAUUAAAUUAAUUACCAAAAUAAACAUAUAUAUGAUCUGCCUAGCUCAAAAAAUUUACCAAGAUAUUCCAUUGAUAGAGCCACUCGAACUAAGACAUGUACACCUUAAUUCUUAAUAAAUUAUUUUAAUUAGAUAUUUUUUAUUCAAAUUUUGGAAUUUUCUUUUGUAUGUUUUUAUUUGUCUUUUAGGUAUUUAAGUUAGCAACCUAAGUCAUUUUCUUUAACUAUAUCCAUUCGCUUCAACAAAGCCGUAAAAUACAAAAGUUUUUUCAAAUUUGAACCGAAAGUGUCUAAUUUAAAUACUUUAUUUAAAUGUUUAAUUAAAACAUGAUUCAGUUCAAGUGUCUAAAAAAAAUAUCCUAAUAAAUUUAUGGUGCUGAUUAUAUAUUAACCCUAAAGAAAAACGAGUUGGUUGAAGUCUUUGCAUGUCAAUUGCAUAUAUGCAAGCAUGUGCGAGAAGUCAAAGUAAAUAAAUGAUCCUUAUAAUAAUGAUUAAUUAAUUAGUGAAUAUUUUCUCGAUGAUUUGACUUUCUUAUCACAAAAUCUUUGACUGUGAGGAGUUCCCAGCUUACAUGCAUGCUUCUAGGAAUUUGUUAUCCAUAAUAAAUUAUCUCAGUUCAGCUGAAUUCUUGAAAUAGUACUGCAAGAGGCUAAUAAAUGAAACAUACAUGACAUAUUUUUAAUAUUUAUAUCUAUUCUAAUUAUAGAAGUGUGUAAUCAUAAUGUUAUUUAAAAAUUUAAAUUAUCACAAAGAUCAUAUUUUUAAUUGCUUAAUUUCAUUAUGUCAUAACGAAAAUAUCAUUCUAAGAAAGUAUAUAUACAUGUCUCUUCAUAUGCAACCUGAUCUUUUAAAUUUUCAUAAGCCAAAUUAUUAAAAAAAUAAAGAAUUAGCGACGAACAAAAUUUUAUAUCUAAAAAAAAUCCAUAUUAAUCUCAUUUAGCUAGGGAUUAGUGACAAAGUAUAAGAAAACUCAAUUACCUAUGAGCUUUUUAGCCACAAUUAGCUAGAAAUUACUGAUAAAUUUCGUAACUAAUUUCAUAUUUUCUUAUAGUAAUCGUUAUAUAUAUCGUUGAUUAUGUUUUUUACAAUAUUAUGUACUUUCCAAAUGUAUGUAGGAGGAUGGCUGGGUGAUAUGUAGGGUAUUCAAGAAGAAAAACCUCUUCAAAAUAACUGGAAAUGAGGCAGCCUCAUCAAGCCAUCACCACCACCAACCAACCAACAACUUCACACACAAAGACAAUCAUGAUCAUAGCCCAUAUCUACUACACCAAUUACCACAACACCAUGACUUAAACUAUUCCCAAAUCCCAGUUGCUACUACUCUGGCUCCACAUGAGUACUAUUCACACAACAACAACAACAUUGAAGUAGCACAAAACUUGAUCAAGUCAUCAUCACUGGGAUAUCAUCAUCAUCAUCAUCAUCCUCAUGAAUUCUCAUCAUCAGGCGCUGAUCAAUCAGCGCCUUGUGAGUCUGGCUUAGAAGUAGCAAGCAGUAAUGAUCAUCAAUGGGGAAUUAAUAUUGAUUCAUCUAAAGUUGCAUUAGGGAUGGGAUUUGAAUCUAAUCAAAUCAAUCAUCAACUUCCUAUGCGUGGAGAAAUGGACUUUUGGAGUUAUGGAAAAUAAUACACAUGACACAACUAUUAGUAAUUCUUUGUAAUAAUAUAUAUAUUGACAUUGAAAAGACAUAUAUAUAUAUAUAUAUCAAUUUAUUAAUUAUACUUAGCUUGUUAUUGUACCUGUACUAUAUAUUAUAUUGGAUGUAUUCGGGGGGAAAAUGUAUGAUUGAUUGUAUGUCCUCCUUAUUUUAUGUUAGUGAUUUCUAUAUUGGAAUGUAAAUUUUCUUAAAAAUCAUCAAUUUUAUGAUUUGAGAAAUCAAACUAAAUAUUCAAUCUAUUGGUCUCUCACUACAUCAAAAAUGAUUUAUAUAUAUAGUAGUAAUUAAUUAACGACAAUAGUUUAAUUAAUAUGUUUUUUUUAAUUUAUCCGUCAAAAAUCCGCUCAUCAAAUUAUAAUCCGUCCAAAUUUGUUUGAGUUGAUUAUUGAUCUGCUUAUUUAUAAAUUAGCUCAAUUCAUAAAUUCAUUAUUUUUAUUAAUUCAUUUUUUAUAUAAUCAUAAUAAAGAAAAAUAAUAAUUUUAUAGAGUACUAAAAAUAAUAAAAGAAAAAAAAAUUAAAACCUAGUUCAUAAAUAUUGAUUAAUCUUAUUAUGUGACAAAAAUUCAGUGGGAAUUGAAUUCAAUAACUUACCUAAAAUAACAGCUCCUGUUACCUAAAAUAACCUAGUUCAUUUGUUUUUUUUCUGCAGUUAACGGGAAAAAAAGUAUCUUCAAAGAUAUUUUUAAUCUUCUAUAAUUCAAUAUUACUAAUUUGUUAAAUCAAGUUAAUUAUAGGAGAAAUGGCGCUUCAAAAAGUGGGGCACGUGGUCCUAUAAAAAUUAGAAAUUGAAAAUAAUUAAUUAAGGAAAUAAAGUAACUUGAGAAGUAGUAAUUAAGUAACUUUAGUUUGUUCAAUUACGGUUAUAGUAGUAAUUUAGGAAAUAAAGUAACUUGAGUGUGUUAAGUAAUUUGAAUUUUUUCCAUUAGGGUUAUAAGAUGUGUAUAAAUAGAUAACUAUCUUUGUUUAGAUUUCAUAGUUCACAUAAUUAAUUAGAAUUAAUGUCGAAGCCAAUGGGAAUACGUUUUCAUCCUACUGAUACGGAGCUAAUCAACUAUCUUAAGAAGUUUUUCAAUGGCGAAUUAUCUUUGAAUCAACAAUGUCCUAUCCAGUUUGCGGAUAUAUAUGGAGAUCAACCACCAUGGGAGAUAUUUGGAGCUAAUUCUGAAGAGAAGUUUCGUUACUUUAUUACUCCUUUGAAGAAGCGGAAGACUGAAUAUAAAAGGUUUUCUCGAAUUUGUGCUAAAGGGACGUGGAAAGGGCAAACCGGGGAACAUCUUAUAAGGAGGAAUCGUACGACGCCUGUGGUAGGAUUUAAGAGAAAUUUCAAGUUUGAAACAAGUGAGUGUGGCCAAGAUAAAACCUGGUUGAUGGUAGAAUAUCAUGUCGCGGAUAGUUUCUUUAAGGAAAAUAAUCAUAUUCUUAAAGAAGAUUUUGUAGUGUGUAGAAUAAAGAAGAAAAUGAAUAAAGAGAAGAACGUGGAUCAUGUUAUGGAGGAACAAGAUGGAGAUGUUGCGGGAAUUCUUGAUCCUAUGUUGCUUGAACCUAAUCAUAAUAACGACUACUCCACAACGGAAGAUCAAGUUAGGGUUUGUGAUGAACAAGAGGCUACAACUUCCUCUUUGCAUGGAGAUCAAAACAGUACUACAAUGGAGAAGAGAGAGACAACGUUGGAAGUACAAGAAGGCCACGGAGUUGAGGAUAUUAGAAGCAAUGAAUUUCAGGAAGAGAUGUAUAGAACAUUUGAGGACAUUCCUGUUGAUAUUCCUGAUGAUUGGUUGCAGAAUUCACACGUUCUACAAGAUAUAUAAUACACAUCAAAAUAUUUAUAUACUUAAUUCAUUAAAUGGAUUAUGCAGUUAAAAAGAAUUAUUGUAUAUAGUUCAAUUCACAAUUUGUCAAUUAUUUUUCUUACGGAGUACUUUUUAGAUGUUAACUGUUGCAUCUAAUCAUACAAUUUUGAAUCACCUGUACAGAUCCAGGCUUUGAUCGCAUUGUUUGGUUAUCUGAUAUAGAGUCGCAGCUGUAGUUUAGCAUGGCAGUUUUAUUACUUGCUUGCAGAUAAAAAUAAUGUCAUUAUUUGCACAUUAUUGUUACAUGCAUGAAUAUAAAAUUCUUGCAUAACUUAAACAAAUCAGUGUAGUGUGUUAAACGUGAACUUCCUAACAUUGUAAAUGUAUAUAUAGUUAAGAGUUCCUAAAAGGAUGAUCACUGGUGGUUUCAUUAACUAGGACAACAAAAUUCGCUCAUAAAGUUAUAAUCCGUCUCAUUUAUUUAAGUUUGAGUUGAUUAUUGAUUUGUUUAUUUAUUAAUUAGCGCAAUUCAUAAAUUCAUAUUUUAAUUUGAUAUGCUAUAUAUAAUCAUAAUUCAAAAAAAUAUUUUUUAUAAGGUACUAACAAUACUAAUAGAAUUAAAAAAUCAUUUAAACCUAGUAAUAAGAGUUGGACGGUUAUUUUGUAAUUAUAUUGCAACAUAUCCAGAUUUUAAUGAAAAUGGAAAGAGCUGGCAAGGCAUCUAAUUAUUUAAAUAUUUUUUAAACCGUCACUACAGAGAAUUAAACUCACUAAAAAAGAAAUAGCUUCGAGAAUUGAAAAUGGAAAGAGCUGGCAAGGCAUCAAUGACACAAUCUUGACGAAUUUUUGAUCAAAAUAAGCUAUUAUUUAAAUUAAUUUACAGUAAUAAUACAUUUUUAAAAAACUUUACAAAACUAGUAUAAACGUUGUUAGUAGUAACGUAUUAGCCCAUAUUUUAUUUCAAAAGAAUAAACGGACAAAAGUUAAUGAGGGACGACAUUAAGUAGGAAAACGUUACUACGGGUAACGUUUUAUAUUUAUUUAUACAUUUAAUUCUAAUUUUUCCCUAAACCCAAUUUUGACCCUUAUACGAUUUAACCUACUCUAAACCCAAUUUCAGUUCUACUUUGAAAUUUCACCCCUGCCCUAACCUCAAUCUCAUCUAGUGCUGCGAACACCGUUCAGUUCCCGAUUCUUGUCGCUAGUUUUCCGGAAGAAGGAGAUUCAGCAUCAUAACUAUUUCAAGGUAAUUUUCUUUGUUCAAGGUUUGAUUUUUCUUUACGAAGUAAGGCUUGACAAAUUCAUAGAAGAAUUCUAUCUUUUGUAAAUUGAGGGAAAACCCAUGAAAUUGAAUUUCAAUAUAGGAUUCUAUUUAAUUUGUUGUAGAUUUUGAUUUGAUUUUAAGUUUUUUGGACUAUUUUCCGACACUCCUUUCAUGGCCAGUGAACUCGAACUCUCUCUGAUUUUUUGAUUUGCUUUCGUAGCAACUUUCACAUCCCAACUACCGUUGAUUCGAAUAACGGAAGCUCCGAUGAGCAAAGGUAUCAACUGCAUAAAGAAAACCACUUUGAUUGUAAGGGCAGGCAUUGCUCCGGCCAGAUACUAUCUUAUAUGAACUUCCAAGUUUUCUCUUUUUCUAAUACGAAGAAGAUACAAUUUUUGAUAAUGCCAAAUAAUUUUUUAGAUCUUUGAAGACACUUUUUUGGGAUCAUUUUCACUUGGUAUCAAAACAUUGUUAAUUAGAGUCAUAGUAAUAGCAUGCUGCCUAUCCAAAUUCCUAAUUCGCUUUGUCUAAUUCAUGCUUCUCUUUUUUAGAUGAAUGUCAAGAAAAAAUCACAUAACAAUAUUUGAGCCAACAUUUAAGUUUACUUUCAUAUGUAUCUCAUAGGUAUUUUCUUUUAUGGCGGAUAAUAGUGAAUACAAGUUGGAUCCCGAUCCACUCGAAUUGGAUGUAUUAAUAGGACAGCUCACUCAUAGAUCACAGGAUAUAUGGGAAGGAAGUUCUACUAUGAUUCUUAAUACGAGAAGAGAAGAUGGAAAUUUUUGGAAGCUCGUAGAAAAAUAUCCUAUCCAUCUAUGAGUUCUUGAAGUGAUUUGAAUAUGUGGAUUGUAUGGUGUUUACAGAGCUAAUCGGCCUGCUAUCGACCAUAGUUUGAUCACUGCAUUAGUUGAGCGAUGGCGUCCCGAAACUCAUACUUUUCACUUUAAGACAGGUGAAGCAACAGUCACCUUACAGGACGUAGAGGUGUUGUAUGGAUUACCUGUGAAUGGUGAUCCAGUACUUGGUAAUGAGACGAUAAAGACCAUAGGGGAUUGGCAAAACAUUUGUCAAAGAUUAUUAGGUUUCAUUCCAUCUCAUGAAGACUUCAAAACAAAUUUCCUCAAGGUCGCUGCAUUUAAUGCAUACAUGCUAAGUCAACCAGAGUUGUCGAACACGGCAACGCAAGAUAUGAUCAAUCAGAAGGCCAGAUGUACAUGUUUUGGAUGAUUACAGGUAUGUUGAUGGCGGAUACAUCUGGUGAUUAUUUGAAGCUUAUGUACUUACCUAUGCUCGAGGACAUCGAUAAAAUUGGGUCUUAUAGUUGGGGGAGUGCGACCUUAGCUUACUUUUAUCAUUUUCUUGUAAAACCUCAUAGACUACCCAAAAUGAAAUAGCAAGAUUUCUACCACUACUUCAGGUAUACCUAAAAAUUGUCCAUAUUAUUUAUUUGUAUUUCUUAUAAUUUACUAAUUUGUUUGAUUUAUUUUCUUAUUGUUAGAACGUAUAAGAAGUUAUUUGGCGAAGAAAUGGUAGCAUUUGAUUGAAUUGAUAUCCUGUUUUGUGCAGAAUUAUGAGAUUGAUUGGAUCAAUGUGUGACCUGUACAAUCUUGGAUGACCUAAUCUGUAAUGCAAAUAUGCAAUCAAUAAAUUCGAGUGAAAAGAAGUGUUUGAAACGUUCGAGAUCAUUUUCAAGUGAGACAUAUAGAAUCAUGAACGUGGUCAUGAAUAUUUGAACAACUUGAAAAAUACAAAUGAUGCCAUACAAAUUAAAAUGAAGCAAAAUACAUAAUUAGAGUUAUUUGAAAGUAAAAAUACAUAUUUAGACUACCCACUUAAGUUUGAUUUCGAGUUGGACAUCUACGCCUAUCAUGUCCGGUCUGUCUACACAAUCCACAAGCCCGCCCAUUUACUGCAGGAUCACGAUCCAUCCCAUUAGGAAUUCUAGUAGUCCUUGAUCGAUUGGGACGACGAUAGAAUUCAUUACUUCUCAUUAUAAAACUUGGCGAUAGCCAAUAUGCCUCAUGCCCAAUCGGUGAGAAUGACCCAGAAUCUCGCUUACAAAAUUUCUAGCUAGUGCUCCCAUUCUUUUAGUAACCUUCAUGACAUGUGAACACGAAAAGUGCAAAUUUGCCCAUUUUUCACAAUCACAUUUUUUUUCACUUAGUGAAACACAGUGAGGAUUACCACUAGUACCAUUAAUCUGUAUAGAUCUAACCUCAUAUACCCCUGUGGAUAUAUUCCAAUCAUAAACAAAGUGUCUUUUUGAACUUUCAUAGUUCUUUUUCCACUUCAUUUUGAAACUGCUUGUCCACAAUUCUCUUUGCUCAACAUGUUGGUGAGUUGUUUGACAUCUACGAGUAUAUCGUUCAACGGUUUGCUCCAAUGAAAGUCCAACCAUGGCAGUGACUUUCCGACCUCAAAGAAACCAUGGAAAACCCAAUGAAUCAUAAAACCUGCAUCUCACAAUCCAUAAGCUCUUACUUGAUAUAACAACCUUGAAUUCUUUAUUUUUGAGCAAACUCCAAAUUGUCACAGCCCGUUUCAACUUAACUUUGCUGCUAAAACACAUAUCUUUUUUUGCAUCCUCGGACCAAACAAAACAACAUUUCAUUUCGGAUUCACGAGUAGAGAUAAAAAUAUCUUCCCCGUUCUCCAAUGUUGUAAAGUAAGGUAUAUCAUUAUUUUGCAUUAAUUUAAGAUACGUCUUGAUCAAAUUGAUUUUGAAGAUUUACCCCACUAGUAUUUUGAGGUAAAUCUCCAAUAUCUCCAUCGGAUUCACUUUCAAUGGCUUUACUCUCUCCAUCAUCUUCUGAAGGUUCAUCCUCCUCUGAAUUUUCAUCGCUUCUUUGAGCAUGUGCAUCAUUACACAAAUCAAAGGCAACUUCAUCUUCUCUGUAGAAAAAAAUAAGUUAAUUUCAUGAAAUACAUAAAAUGAAAAUAUAUAUUAUUCAUGCUACUAAAUAGAAUUAGUAUUUUUUUAUAUGAAAAGAUUGCUCUACCUGGUUUCAUAUUGAUUGUGGCUAUUCUCAAUAUGUCUUUGACUACUCGAGCAUUCAGUAAAUGAUCGAUUUUCAUAUUCGUUAAGGCCUACACCAAAAGAGUGAUGGAUACCAUGUGUUGCACUGUAUGCAUAAUGAGGCUGACUGAUUGUGGCAAAUCCAUAAUUUUGAGCCAAUAAAUUCAUAUGAUAACCAUGUUGAUCAUUCAUUUGAAAUAGAUUAUCUUGAUUUAUUGGUCUAAUCUUUAUAUACAUCUCCAAAAGAUUUAUAUCAAUCUUGUUCAAAAAUUUCUGAGGAAUGACAAAAAAUUAUAGCAAAGAUUUGUCAUUCUCAAUUUUGAACUCAAUAAAUCUUGUAAUGUUACCUUGAAAUGAGCAUGGAUAUUUUCUAGAAAUAUCCAAUUGAAUAUUUUCACCAUUAGUCCCCAUUUUCUCAUGCAAUAAUUUAAUUAAUUCAACGUAGUUGGUCGAAAUAGACAUGCUAACAAUCAUUCUGGCACAUUCUUUAUAUCGAAAUUCAUUCAUUUCAGUGAUUAUUUCACCACCCCAAUACAAAGCAAUCAUCACGUUAUCUUCAAAAUUAGCCAUCAAAAAAUCCUACACACAAAAAUAAGAUGCAUUAUAGUUAUUAAAAAUAAUGUUUUUAUAAAUACAUUACAACAUAUUGACAAGACUUACCUAUUAAAAUUUUGUGAGUAUUGAUUCAACAAUGGGGCACAUUAGCAGAAACUUUGUAGAAAAUUAUUGAAAUGUGCUAAACAUUCUACACAACCAUUUCUUAUAAUGAUAUGUGGUCAAAUUGUAAAAGGAACACUUUAGCAGUUUGUUGUUACUGUCAGUCACGUUUUAAAGUUAAAACGUAACAUAUAGUAACGUUUUAUUGGCAGAUCAAAUCAAUAAGACAUCUUCAGAGCCCCGUGACAUGAUUCGAUAGAAUCGUUACUCAGAGUAACGUUUUAGUCUUAAAACGUGACUCAUAGUAACAACUUUAACGUCAAAUUUCGUACAAAGAUUCUUAGUUAGCAGACGUGAUUUGAUUCGACAGAAUCGUUACUAGGAGUAACGUUUUACCUUUAAAACGUGCUUCAUAAUAACGAAAUUGGUACAAAGAUUUGAAAGUGGCAGAUUUGUAGAAACUCGUUAUUGAUGGUAACGUUUUAAGCCUAAAACGUUACUUUUAGUAACGUAAAUCUUCUUUAACGCCGUCUCCCAAGUAUUUUUGGUCCAUUUAUUUUAUAAAAUGAAAUAAAGCCUAAUACGUUACUACCAACAACGUUUAUACUAGUUUUGUAAAAUUUUAAAGUUUCAUAUUAUUUUGGUGAAUUGAAUCAAAUAAUAGCUUAUUUUGAUUAACUCUUCCAAUCUUGACUGAAAGAAUAAUUUAAGAUCUCUAUAUAUACAAUAAGAUCUAAACAUACAAAAAUAAAAAAUAAAAAAUAACUCAUUAAUAUGACUCAUCUUUUAUUAAAAACUCAUCUCAUCUUGAUUUGAUAAAAUUGUAUUUUUCUAAAAGUUGGACAAUUGAGCUAAAGUGUUAUCAAUAAUAUGUUUAGUCAUCCGUCAGAUUUUAAUUUGUUCAUUUAAUUUAAAAUGUUUUUCUUUUCAAUCAAUUAUUUAAAGCAUUUUUAGUAGAUGUUGAAUUGUUUUUCUUUUCAAUCAGAUUUUCUUUUCAUUUGAUUUGUAUAUUUUCUUAUCAAUUCGUAUAUAUUUGUUGGGUUCAAAAGUGAUCUUGGCGUCAUGUCGAAACUUACAAUUGCAUAUCAUAUGGUUGAUAAAUCAGAUGACAAUUAAAAACAUACUAAAGACAUAUUUAUUAAUAUGGUUUGGUCAAGCGACCUACAUAUUGUAAAACUUAAUAUUGAAAAACAUAAAUAUGUUUAGGAGAAAAUCUCUCCAUAAACAAGACUCUUAAACGACUACAUUGUGAAUUCUAUUAUGUUCUUAAUAUGAGAAGAGUGGUCAUCAAUUUAUAGAUCUCCUAACUUUUCCUCUAAGGAAAUAAUAAACCAAAUAUGAAAGAAAAAUAUAUUUUCCUUUCGUGAAAAGUAAAAACAUUUAUGGUAAUGCUUUGUCUUUUCUUUUAGGAAAAAUUAAACUUCAAAUAAGGUAAGAAAAUCAGGGCAAAACCCUAACAAAUCUUCCCUUUUGGCUUGAAUUUUCUUGCAUAAUAAUCUUGAUCAUCUUUCUUCACACAAUCUUCAUGUAUCACUGUUGCUUACCAUGAUUUAAAAAUUGAUAUGGGCUAAAACAAAUUAAAAAGAACAAAAAAAUCCCUUUUUUUUAUGGAAAAGAUAUGAUUGUGUGGUAGACUAGUAGUUAUAUAUAAAGCAACUUUCACAUAUAACAAAUAUAAAAAUCAUAUUUGUAUGUUAUAGCUAUAGUUUGCAUAAUUGCGCUCCAUAACAAAUUUUUAUGUUUGCUAUGGAGCUUUUGAUUUGUAUAAUUCGCUACAAACAUCCAAUUUUAUACAAAUUGUUCAGUUUUGUAUAAAUUCAUUUAUACAUUGUAAUUUGUAUAAUAAGAUCUGUAUUUGUAUAAUUAUAAGUGUAUAUGACGAAAAUAUUGUAUUUAUAUUUGUAUAUACACUUUUUCUCUCACUUUUAUACAAACACAAACGUAUUUUAUACAUUUUUAUACCGAAAUGUAUAAAAUGACUAAUUGUAUACCGAAUCAGAUGACAAAAAAAGUGAUGUUUUCUGCUAAUUACAAUUAAAAUAAACUAUGACUAUAACAUUUAAUUUGAAUUAAUUUGCUAUUUCAUACAAUUUUCCUGUGGAGGGUUCUUAUUGUUCAAAUAUUUUUUUGUUAUAAGUUAUCAAAGAGUGACUUAAUUUCAGCGAGGAGCUUUAAAAAUUGGCUAUAGUUUGAGCUAAUUAGAUAUUUAUAGCUAUAGUUUACUUAAUUACGAUUCAUAACUACAUGUUAAAAGGAGGAGAGGGACAAGACAUAUUGGGAGAGGGAGGAUCGACAGAAGGGAGCGAGAUAUGAGAGAGAGAGGGGAUAGAGAGGAGAGAAAUACAAUUUAUUUGUACACCUGAAAUAAUUGUAUCACAAAUUCAAUUAAUUUAUAUAAAAAACCAGCUAAUAGAAGGAUGAGAGAGAGAGAGAGAGGAGAGAGACACAAUUAAUUUGUAUAUUUGAUCGAUAAUUGUAUCACUAAUAUAAUUGAUACAAUUGUUAUAUCAAUGAAUACAAUUGUAUAAAUAUUGUAUUUCGUUACAAAUUGUAUUUGUAUUCAUCUAUUGCCUUGUGUAGUAUUGUAUUUACGCGCUACUACGUGUAUUUGUGUUUGUGUAAUUGACUGUUACCAUUUGUAUUUGUAUUGUAUAAGUAGGCGAGCGAGAAAUGAUAGAGAGAGGUGAUUAGAGGCGCGAGAGAGUGUAAAGAGAGGGCGAGAGGUGAGAGAGAGAUAUUUGCUAUAAAAUUCUAAUUAUAUCUGCAAAUUUUAAUUCUUGUAAACUAUAAUGGACAAAUUACUUAACUACACUCCUUUACUUACCUUAAUAUCCAUUUAUCCCUACUUGUUUCAAAAUUUUCAAAAAUCCCUUAUUUUACCUAUGUAUCCCGCUAUGUGGAAUGUAUCAAACCUAAUGUAUCCCGUGCACAACGCUAUGUAUCCCGCAAACAUCAUUUUUAAGAGAUUUUUGGUAAAUAAAAAACUAGAAGGGAUAUGAUGUUAUUUAGUACUUAUCAUAUUACAUGUUUGUCUUACUAGGUAACUUUUCAAAUUUCGAUUAGUUUUAAAACUUUGGCUAAUCGAUAAACAAAGUAAAGUGGUUAAUUGUCAAAACCCUCGGAAAUUCAUCUUUGGGCCCUUAUUAGUUGUCCGUUGAGUUAACGGCCCAUUAAAAAACCAAGUGCUUUAAAACGGGGGAGUCUUUUUGUUUUUUUUUGUGUUCACUUAUCAAGUUUCAAACUAAGCAAUCAUGGAAGAAGAAAAAACUUUAGCAGAGUUUGAUGCCUUCGAACACCCAAUGGAAUUGGAAUUGCGAGACGGAGAAGAAGGAGGGGAAGGGGACAACGACGGAGAUAACAACAAUAAAGAGGCUGAUGACGAAGACGAAGAGGGGGAGGAAGAAGAAGAAGAAGAUGGAAGCGGAGAGUAUAAAUUUCAAUUCGGAGCUGAAAUGGAUCCUUUGGCAUUCACUGAAGUGGACGCCUUUGGACGCCAGCCAUACCAGCAGUUUGAGCACCUCGAACACCAAUAUGAAGCACUCGCUGCCAAAAAGCGGAAAGCUCAAGCCCUACCUCCCAGGUAAUUUUGAUAUUGUGAAGCGAAAGGGAAAAAAAGCUGAGUUUCUUGCUACACGGUAAUGAAUAAUGAAUAGUGAUUGUACUCAUGUAAACGGAAAUACAUACAUUUUUUUUUUUGGAUUUUUGACAUGAAAAUUUAUACUUUGCCGAAGUGCAUGAUGUAAAAAUUCUACUCUGUCUUUCUGAAUCCAUGCUCCUCUACUCUUCCUUUUACUCGUGAAAUUUCACCUUAGAAUUAGCAUAGAAAAGUAAAUAAUCACCUUAAUGUUGCCCUAUUAUUUUUUGGGAACUUACAUAAAUCCCACUAGUUUAGUAAUUAGAUACACUCUACUUUACAAUAUUACGUAUCUUACCAGAUUUUGGUGUCUAGACAUGUAUCUCAGAUAUAUGAGGUCAAAUUUAUGUUUAAUUUGUUUUAGAUACAUUGUAUUCAAGUGGAUUUGCAUGUAUUUGGGAUACAUAGCGAAUAUCACUUGCCUCCCUCGCCUCUCUCCCAUCUUGCUCACCACUCUCCCAUGUAUUUGGUAUCCCAAAUACAUGCGAAUCACUCCAUAUAUAUAUAUAAAUAUAUAUAUAUAUAUAGAUACAUGUAUCUAGUGUUAUUCACAUGUAUUUGGGAUACAUACAAAUCUUGCUCACCUCCGUCUCCAAUCUCGCUCGCGUCUCUCCCUAUUUUUGUGUAUCUGGUAACAAAAAUACAUGUGCACAUGUGUAAGAUAAAUAGAAAACUCUUAAUUAGUGGUUAAUUAGUGGUAAGAUAUGUAAAAUUUUGAAACUAUAGGUAAUAAUAGUAUAUAUGGUAGUGAAGUAUGUGUAAUUAUGUACUUCGGUUGCAGUUUUAAAUAAUCACCUUAAGUUGUAAUUGGCACUAUAGUCAGAAUAGUGAUCAGAGAGAUGAAAGAAUAUGUAUUGAGGCCUUGGUGAAUGCUGAGAUACACCAUUUUUCUUUUCGAUAAGUUAAUACAUACUACACCUAUUUAUAAGUGUCAAACACAAUACUCAAUGAAAUUUGUGCAGACUGAUAUUAUAUCUAACUUAAAAUUAGAACUUUUUUGAUGUUCUGAUUCUCAUAUUCUAGACACUUCUAAUAAUUUUGUGAUUGUUUUAACUAGGGGCGGGGGAUGGGGUUGGUGUAAUUAAUUAUCUCUUUGAUUGCAGUACUGUUUACAUGCUUUGUCUGGAUUUUGGACACUUUGCCUCUCAUUGACCUUCAUUUUAUAUUAAUUUCUUAUACCAUGUUUGGGGAUGGGUGUGUGAGUGAGUGCAGUGAGAUCCCAGCAAAGAAAUCUAGGCAAGAAGACCGUCAAGAAGAUGGUCCAGGAGCAAGCUAUGAUGAAAUAUUGGAAGCUAUGAAUUAUGGGAUGAGGAGAAAAUCAAGGAAGGUAUGAUAUCCGCUUGUUGUUUUCUCUAUAAUAUGUUGUCAUUAGUAGUCUGGGGAAACUUUGAACUCCACUUACAAAAUACUAGAUCUAAGCAGACCAUGGGCCCAAGCUCAACCUUGACAAUUCAUUUUUUUUUUUGCAUUCUUUUGUUUUUUGGGUUCUUGGCUAUUAUUUUCUUAUGAGUAGUCAUUAGUUGAAUAACUAGAAUCACCAAAACAUGGUACUUUAUUUUACCUUUACCAGCUUAUGGUUUCAGAUCCUUAUACAAGGUCUUAAAGUCAAGAUCUUUAAUUUCAAGCUUAAGAUCUCUUAUUAUAUCUCAUUAAAACGAGUUUUUCCUAAUAUAGUUGUUAAAUGAUAAGGGAAUUUCAAUUGAAUUACAUGUAGCAUUAAUCAUUUGGGAAAAAGAUUACUAAUGCAAGCUGGUCAUUGGGACUUUACUUGGACUUGGAAGAUCUAUGGAAGACUAAAGCUGCGACAAAGGUGGCACAUUUUGGAUGGGUUGCAGCUAGGAAUGUUUGUUUAACUCAGAACUGAUUACAAAGAAUUGGUUAUGCCAUAUGCAGUAGAUUAAAGAAUACCUUGAGUUUUGAGGAUAUGAAGCACCAUCUUGCUUACCUAAGCUAGGUUUGAGGUUAAGCUUGUUGAUCUCCAGUGCUAAGGUUAUGUCACACCAAGAGACACUUCCAGCUAUAAGCUUAGCUAAGAAAAAACUCAAUGAUCUUAACUGAUAGUGGUUGUGGUGCUUACCCAAUGAGCUUUUGGCCUUCAACACAUUCACACUCUAAGCAAUUCAUGGAAGUUAUGAAUGGUUUAAGGAGUUACUAAAUUACUGAUUCCAGAAGAAUGAAAAGAAUUUUUACAAAUUAGUUUGUGAACUAUUUGUCAAUGUUUUCCCUAUCCAAUGUUCCUACCUUAACUAUUAACUCACCUUGUGAAGCUAUCAGUUUUCAAUAUAUUUUGGAUGGGCUUUGGCUAUGUUUUGACUGUUCAGAACAAUCUGAGGUUGUCGCCAUUUUUAUUGAAAUUAGUUUAUUAGGUAGUCUUUUUGCAACCUGUUAUUUUGACCCCUCUUUAUUUUCGGUUGCAAGUUCUUGUUUUGCAUAUUGUAAAUAUUGUGCAGAUGCUAGUAAUCUUCUGCUCACUAUGUUAUGUUGUACCAUAUGUAGCUCAAGAAGAGAGGUCGGCGGAAGGGAUCAAAGAGUAAAGUUAGUUCAGAAUUGAAAAGAAAACUUGGUGAUGCCACUCUUCACUAUGCACAUGGCCGUUACGAAGAGGUAUGCAUCUAGCGUCGUGCAUCCCUGAUCUUGCUUGAUCUGCAUUUAUACUUUUCUGCUUUGCGUGUAGAUAUGAUAUCAAUAAGGCAUGAAAAGAAUAAUUUCAUCAAGAUUGUACUUACUUUACACAGUAAAAUAUAUGAAUUGACACAAGCUAUCUUUUCUAAAAAAAAAUAUAUAUAAUGAAUUGACACAUGAGGUGGCUACUUUCUCUUUGUUGUUGUCGGUAAUGGUCCUGCUCUAACAAAUGAACCUAUUUUUGCGUCUGGAUAUUUGUUCCUACUUGGUUUUUGAUUGGUAUUUUCUGUCAAUUAUAUGUAAAAAUUUGUGCACACCUGUUGAAGAAGUGGUCUUUUCCCCGUUCUUGAUGUAUUUGCUUUAGGAAGGGCUCUAUAACAGCUAUUAGUCCUUCCAUUUCUUAUUUAUCUCAUUGUUAGUGUUCUCUGUUGCAGGCCAAACUUGUGUUGCGUGAAGUCGUUCGUCUUUCGCCAAAUCUUCCUGAUCCAUACCAUACACUUGGCCUGAUUUACAAUGCUAUGGGUGAUAAGAAGAGAGCAAUGAAUUUCUACAUGCUUGCAGCACAUCUGUCACCGAAGGAUGCAUCUCUAUGGAAUCUCCUGGUUGCUUGGUCCACGUGAGAAUUCCUUGGACUUCUUGUAUCAUCAUUUGUUUUUCUUUGUCUUUUCUUGUUUUUUUUUCUGUUGUAUAUACAUUUCAAGAAAAUCACAGUUGAGCUGUCUACUCAUAUAUGGUGUAAAAAUAUGUCAUCCUUAUUCCUUUUCUUAUUUCAUACAGCACUGUAUUAUCGUUCCUAUGUGGAGUAGAUUCCUGCAUAUAUUUAGAGAUCCAGUGUUUAGGGGAAAAAGUUAUCCCCUUGAGAUCAAAUCUUUGUCCCCUACGCGUUCAGUGGUAUGCGAAAAUGCUGAGCCCUUUCUGAAAUGGGCUUUCUCUGCCCUUCCUUUCAACUUUGACAGUUAUUUUAUUAUAUAUUCCCUAUUGGAAGGGCAUCCUUUGAAAACUAACACAAAAAUUCCAUUAUCAUCUACUGUUUUCUUUAACCUUCUGAAAAAGUGAAGGAGACAGAUAUGCUUAGAUGGACGGUUAAGGGUUCUUUGUGUUACUUUUGGUUUUAAAGACAUCGAGAGAGAUAAACCACAAGGAUACAAAUAUAUUUACUUCUUGUAUGAUGCUUAAGUGAUAGUUUGGUCCUAAAGGAGCUCAAUUGAUAUGUUGUGGGGUGAAAACAACCCAUUCUGCAUUAGGAAUUGAGAAAGCAUCAGGUCUGUGUGUGUUCGAUACUGAUGCACAAAGUUCAGAUAUUCUACAUUUUGAGUGACAGCCUACUGAAGGAUUUUUUUGUAGCACAUCUCUUGGUCAAUUAAUUUAGGAAUGUGUUAUGUAUGUGACAGUAGACAUUUGACCUGUUUCCUUUUAAACCCAUGAUGAAGUAGCAAAUAGGUAUUGUUCACCGUGUUUUUAUUGCCAAUUUUAGGUUUUGGUUUUAAAAUUGUUGUAUAAGAUUGCUCCCCGGUUCCUGUUUAUUUUUGCAACAUUUGGUGCUUCUUGAGUAUUGUCAGUUAAAAGAUAACUUGUAACUGUACAGAGAUCAGGGAGAUAGGAAACAGACCCGCUAUUGCCUUUCCAAAGCAAUAAAAGCAGACCCUGAAGACCUUAGUCUUAGGUUUCACAGGGCAUCAAUAUAUAUUGAACUUGGAGAUUAUCAAAAAGCUGCAGAGCAGUACGAACAAAUUGCUCGUCUAUGCCCUAAUGAUGUUGGAGUACUUAAGACAGCUGUUCAGGUGUCUGCAUCUAUUCUUCCUUCAAUAUCUGUCAAACUUUGUUGUCUUAUUGAUUUGCAUAAAGUUGUUGUUGAAGAGUCCCACAUCGGAUAAAAAAGGGAUGUGUGGUCUCCUUAUGUGGUCUUGGGCAGUUGUCCCCUUUUGAACUAGCUUUUGUGGUUGAGUUAGGCCCAAGAUCCAUUUCUCUACAUGGUUAAGCUUCGAGUCCAUCUAAAAUAUAUUGUUUUCGAUGUUGGAUCUCCUGUCUUUUAUUGUCCACGCUCCAGAUGUCCAGUCCUGUGUGUGCGGGGUGUUGGAGUCCCACUCGGUUUGUGGGCUGGGUACGUGGACUCCUUAGAUGGUCUUAGACAAUCUUCCCCUCAUGAGUUAACUUUUGGGAUUGAUUAGGCCCAACGUCCAUUUUUAAACAUGGUAUCAGUGUAGGACCCAACCCCAAUUCUUUUUUUUUGAUGUUGGCCCCCCAUAUUAAAUUGUCCAUGCUCCAGACAUUGUCCAGGUCCGUGCUUGAGGUGGGGUGUUAAAGAGUCCACAUCAGAUGAAAAAGGGAUGGGUGAUGGUCUCGAUAUGUAGUCUUAGGCAAUCUUUCCACCUUGAGCUAACUUUUCGAGUUGAGUUAGGCCCAAGAUUCAUUAGAGUUGUUUUGGCCUAAGCACCAAAUGGUUACAUGUUGAAUGCCGCAUCUUAUGCUAUUUUUUUAAAUCCAUUUUACUUUCUAUUGCCGUUCUUAUGUUCAUUGGACAUCAUUUGUCUUUAUAUUACUAAGGCGGAACCCAUCGAUGGCCCCCUAAAGUUGGCACCAACUUUCACUUAGACGCCUUAACUAAGCUUUGUUCAUUUUAGACACCUCAUGUCAUGUCCCGCUGUGUCAUUUUGACACUUUUUACUGAAUUGACAAAGUGCGUGUGUUGCAUUGAUUUUAAGCUCGUAGAAAACAUUUUUUUUGUGAAAAAAAAUAUUUUUUCUUCCCUCUUUCUCCUUCACCUUUCACCACCAUUAUGUAUGUACUGAUUUUGAGUAAAACAAAAAGAAUCAUAUACUCAUUGAAAAAGGUUAAAAAAGAAUCAUAAACUGAUUGAAAUAACUUACAAAAGCUAUUUUUUUUUAAAAACAAUCAGAUCUAAAAAAUAACAUCACUACCUCACCGGAAAAGAUGGAGAUCCACCAUUUUUGUUACUAUCUUUCUCUCCCUCUCCCUCUCCCUCUCCCUCUCUUCCGCUAAAACAUAUUUUAUUUAGAAUUAGAAUUAUUAGUUAUAAAAGAAAAUAUGAGACGUCAUUGAAAAAUAAAUUGGAUCUAAAUCUCUUCAAUUUUUCCGGCGGAACUCCAAUUUCCGGCGAUUUUUAUUAGAUAUGAGUCAUUGAAAUGACUUCCUAGAAAAUGAAGUCUUUUCUUAUUGAAAUAUUUUUAAAAUAUAAGUUUAAAUGGUUUUUCUUUCUUCUUCUUAUAAUUAAAUUUUUACUUUUUUAACCAAAUUGACACAUGUCUUCUCUUAGUUUGUCAUCAUGCCAUGUCAUCCGCGAGUGGAUGACACACAUUUUUUAACUUUUGCUGAUUGUUAAAGAAGUGUCAAAAUGACAUAGUAGGACAUGCCAUAAGGUGUCUAAAAUGAAAAAAGCUUAGUUGAAGUGUCUAAGUGAAAGUUGGUGCCAACUUUAGGGGGCCAUCGAUGGGUUCAACCUAUUACUAAUAAAGACAACAUGUUUUACUAUAACUAUUAUUUUUUAUCAAGUAAAGGGUUUCAUUAAUAAUAUCAAGGUUUUGAGAUCUGACAAAUUGACGAGAACAUGCCAAGAGAAUCAUUAUGAGAAAUACUGUUGCUUUAGUCCAAUAAUUACAGGAUUUUUUUUUGUAUAUAUAUAAUUAAUGCUGUUUCAAAUAGUACUUACUCUCAUAUUUCACCGUUAAGCAUGAAAUUGACUUCUUGUCUGCUUCUCCAGUUUUACAGCAAAUGUGGCAAACAUGAGUGCUCUGUUGGUAUCCUCGAAGACUACCUGAAAAAUCAUCCAACUGAAGCUGAUUUAAGUGUGAUACAUCUGUUAGCUGUGAUACACAUGGAAGACAAUGCACAUUUAAAAGCUCUUGAUCUAAUUGAGUGGGCAAAGCAGAGAUAUUUUACUGGGAAACAGAUGCCUCUUAAUUUAAAUAUCAAAGCUGGAAUAUGUCAUUUACAUCUUGGCCAUAUAGAGGAGGCAGAGGUUUGUUUGAGCUUGAUGUUGAAGUUUCUUGUUGCUUAUAGAAGUGCCAUCACUCAUAAUAAUUCUGCCAUGAUGAGUUCUUUAUGCAAUGUAAAGGCUGAUCAAGUACAGUAGUUCGUAGAACAAUUAGUGAAACACAAUAUUCUGAUGAGUAUGACAGUGAAAGUGUGAAUGAUCUUUCUCUUUUUACGUGCUACUGGAAUCAUGGCAACUGUGGACUAGGUUUUCGGAGUUGUUCUAUUUUCCUCUUAGUAUUAACUGUUGUUAUGGGUAGUGGGUGUUGCUGUUCAAGGGAAAAUAUCUGUCUGAGAUUCCAUUUGAAAGCUCCUGCAUAUUUCUGUAACAUAACGAUGGAAAAGCUAAAUGUGGUCGAGAUUUAUUUAACUAAAACUUUGUACCAUCAGAAAUUAGAAAUCUACUUUCAGUUAUUUGGCACCAUAACUAGAUGUAAUGGUGUUAGAUGGGAUACUACGUAGGUAAAGUUAAAGCUAAUCUAUAGGGGAGAACAUGCAGAAUAGGACCCAUAUGGGACUUAUAACUUCACGCUAAUUAGCUAAAGUGACUCUAAAGUGGCCCAAGUAGUGGGUAGUUUUCCAAGGUGAAGAUUGAGGAACACGAGGACUCUGACAAAAUGAGGUCUCAGAAGUACUUAUAGUCUUAUACAUCUCAAGUUUUGUACUUCUUAACGAUGACCUCAGAUCAUAGUUGGAACCCUGAAUCUCACAGGUUGUAAAAUUCUUUAAUAAGCCCAGAGCUUAGUCUAAUCCUGAAGUGAAAUCCAAUCUUACCUCUUCUAAAUACCCUAUUUGACAACAACAACAACAUACCCAGUGUAUUCCCACCAGUGGGGUCUUGGGAAGGUGGUGUGUAUCCUAUUCUGUUGUCUCUAAAAAAAUUCUAUACUAUUUCUGUAUGAAUUUGAACUGAAGUUUUAUGCUAUUCUUACUUUGUCAAGCAAUGUGCAGAUUAUUUUCCGUGCUGUACAAUCUGAAAAUGCAUCUCAACAUCCCGACAUAGUCACCGAGGUCGCGGACUCCCUUAUGACACUUGAAUACUAUGAAUCAGCUUUGAAGUACUAUAUGAUGCUUGUUGGAGAUGACAACAAGAACAAAGUAAAGAAAUAACACUCCCCCUUUUACUGCUUCUGUGUACAUUGCAAUAUUUUAUCCUUUCACUUGGAAGCACGUGUAUAUGUGCCCUUUCUGUACUAUCAAGCAGACCAACCAUGCUCAGUUGAUCUGUUAUUGAGAGGAACCUUGUUGAACUCUCUACUAGUAAAGCAUAUCCAUCUUCUGAAACUCCUUUUAUUAUCUUUUGGUGGUUAAUCCAUUUCAAUCCUUUUCAGGGCUAUUUACACUUGAGAAUUGCCGAGUGUUAUGUAUUUUUGAGGGAAAGAGUACAAGCAAUUGAGUACUUCUAUAAAGGUAUCCACAUAACAUAUGUGAUAUGAUAUGUAUGUAUAUAUAUAUAUAUAUAUAUAUAUAUGAUAGUGUGUGUGUGUAUAUAAAAUUAUCGGUGCAUAGACUUCAUUAAAUACUUAUAGCUCUGGUGUGACAUAACUUACCUCCUCAUCUAUAUACCCUCCUGCAGAAUGGGUUUAUUUUGUGUUAGUGACUUGCUUAAGUCUGUUGAUGCUCCAAUCCUAUUCAAUGUCUUUAUCUAAUUUAUUUUUCUUUUCAGCUGUAAAUGAACUUGAGGAUAGUGUUGAUGCUCGAUUAACUUUAUCAUCCAUCCUCCUUGAAGAUGGCAAAGAUGAUGAAGCAGUUUCUGUGCUUUCCCCUCCCAAAGAAUCAGGUAUAAAUCAUUUGCUUGGGAUACUUUUAGCAUUCUAUUAUGUGGAUCAUUGUAAACUUCUUUUAAGAGCUCUGUGGUUCAUUUCCAGAAUCUUCAGGUGACUCAAGUUCUGGUACACCAAAAUCUUGGUGGCUUAGUAGCAAGAUAAAGCUGAAGCUUUGCCAAAUUUAUAGAGCUAAAGGGUCACUAGAGGCUUGUGUUGAUGUUAUUUUUCCUUUAAUUCGUGAGACAUUGUUUCUUAAGUCUGUCCAACCGAAGGUAAGCUUACUCUUUUCAUUUAUGACCCUGAAGUUUGCUAGUUAGGGAUGUUUCUUUUCAAAAGUGAUAUUUCAAUUAGUGAGUCGGGGGGGGGGGGGAAUUAACAGGAAGGUNNNNNNNNNNNNNNNNNNNNNNNNNNNNNNNNNNNNNNNNNNNNNNNNNNNNNNNNNNNNNNNNNNNNNNNNNNNNNNNNNNNNNNNNNNNNNNNNNNUUGGGGGGGGGGGGGGGGGGGGGAAUUGACAUGAAAGUUUCUUCAUGCAGCUCAAAAAAAUCUACUUAUAAUAAAAAUAAAUAAAUCUAGAGUUUCAUAGCAAUCAUUCAUUGUCACUAUACUUACUAACUUACAUCCCUGGGCGACUUGCUUGGGAUGCUGCAAUCACAACUUUCUGGCUGGCAUUUGUCUGGUAUACUGCUAGAAUGUAAGCCAUUAAAUGUCUAGGGGAAGAGCAGAAAAGUAGCUGAUCACAUGCUUUGUCUAGAACAAUGUAGCCCAGUGUUACUAAAGGCGAAAGCUGAAAAGCGCAAAGUGCUAAUAAAGCUUGGCUUUGAUGAAAGGCGCAAAGGGAGAAAAACCCAACAAAGGUUGGGGUCGAUCCCACGAGGAGUAAGAGUGUGUCAAGGUGUCCAAGAGUGUGAAUUUCCUAAGUUAUUCUUCAAACAAAAUAGUGAGUGAACAGUUAACUCUAAAACUAGACUAUUUUACUCCUAGCAUUUGGGGAUCUCAGAUGUGUCGAUAUCAAUGGUGGCUUAUUAUUUUGAUGAAUCAUUUCUUCGGACAGAAGAACUUAAAUAAAAAUACUUAAUAGCAUUGCAAAUACAUUUAUACAAAACUUCUAGUCUUCUACCCGAGCACACACAACAUAACUGUAGAUAGCGAAAAAAGAAUGAACGGGUCUUGUAGGAUUCCCAAGAAAUUCUUCAAUUUCUUCCGGAAACAGAUAGAUAUUCUCCAGAUAGAUAUUCUCCAGCUAAAAGCCAGACUGUGGAUCUUAUGGAAGGUUUACAAAAACAUGUACCAAUUACCAAAAUCACAUUUUUAUAAGCUGCGAAUGUUAUUUUUUUUUUUUUUUGUAUUAACCGAGAAAUCCGUACUGUUGACCCUACCCUUUGGACCAAUCACAGCCUUCUAAACUCGGUGGAUAAUGGGCCCGCCCCUCUACCCUUCUCCACUUAAAUACCGUGCUUCGCUUUGCAUGGUGUGGGGCUUGAACCUGCAACCUAAGCCACAAAUCCUCCACCUUUUGCCACUUGAGCUAGGCCUUGGGGGCAGCUGCGAAUGUUAUUUUUUUUUUAUGACAAGGGAAACCCGCAGCCGCUACCCUUUGGGUGCGCACAAGGUAAAACCCCCGCUCCUAUGCAAUAGCUCGCAAACCACAUAGGAGAGGUAACCCGCACUAGGCAAGCCUGGUGCGACGAGCUCAACCCAGAAGGCAAACCCCUUGCUUUCGCUGGCAAGGGGUUUCGAACUUGAGACCUCCAACAUGGAAGUCCCAAGCUCAAACCACUGGGCCACCCCGAAGGGUAGCUGCGAAUGUUAUUGAACACUUGGAAUGCAAGAAAGUAUGAUUUGUUUUUGAUUUUAAAAAGGAUCGGGGUUGUAGCCUCAAUAAGGUAUAGCUAGUUCAUGAACACAACUAUCUUGCUGAAAUACGUAGGAUUAAUGAAAAUAAUUCAAUUGAUAAUUACUUACUGGAGUUUUCCAACUCUAGCAAGGGAAUCCCCAAUAGUUCUUUCAAACCCAAGGGAAAAAUAUUAAGACCCAAUUGAUAGACCCAAGUAGGAAUCUCCCUAUUCCUAUUUUGAUUCCAUUAAUCAAGCAUACAUUUUUUGGAGAAUGGUAUAUCUUGCUACUUGUUCAAUACCAAUCCAAUUUCCACUCUUCCAAGCAAGAAAUGGAUGUGAAGGGCUUAAUCUAGUGUUUGCAAUCACAAUAAGAAUAGAAACUCCAGCUAUAAGGUGAGUGGACGGUUAACUCCAAAUCCUCCCCAUUCCUUUGGAUGAUGUGACAACUCUCAAAUUCACUAAAUGUUGCUUGUUUAUUUCUUCCUUUGUAUCCCAUAAAAAGUUUUGUUGAAGUCUUUGCAACUUGUGUCACUUUACAAGGUCAAGGAGUGCAAAAGUGACAUGAAUUGUUGGAAGUAAGGCAUUUCUCCUUGAAGUAAAUUGAUGCAUGCAAGGUCAAAGUUAUCUUGGACAAGGGUAUCCUAGUUGCAUAAUUACAUUGCUUUGUAAAGAUGUCCAUAAUUAGUACCCAAAUAGAAUCAAACACAAGCUAUAACCAUACUAGAAAAUUAUGUGUGUUUACUUUUAAGUCUAGUUAUUUAAUCAUCUAGAAUAAUUGUCCAGUUGUUAGCAUCAUUUCACCUCUCAGAGAUUACCUUGUAUCUAACUUGUUCUUAGUAUUGUUAAAUGUGUGCGUAACUCCUGAAACUCAGUGAAGUCCAUGUUGUGCGCUUUGUCGCACUUAGUUAGCGCUUUAGUGUAGGCGUCAAGAAGCUAAGGCAUGUGCACCUUCGCCAAUGGGUUUUGUCAUUAAGGGCAUAUGUAUAGCUUAUCAUAGUUCUCCUAUUCUCUCCAAGAGUUCCAAGUAAUUAUUGUUUGUGUUUAUAGUUACAUUUUUUUACAGUAGAUUUCUAUUUUCUAUUUCAUUGGCGAUUUCUUCACUAAAGCCGGCGCUUUAAUUGCACUUUGUGAUUAAAGCUCAAACAAACUUUUUUAGGCUCUUUUUGCACUUUUAACUUUUGAGUUUUGACUACUCUGCUUGUUCUUUCUUUUAAUUGGUGGAUAUAUUUUUAGGUCAAAGUGCGGAGAAGGCUAUCUAAAAGUGUUCUAAAUCAAAGAAUCAAGGUAGUGGACGAUCACCAAACAGAUACCAUCUUUCAUGGCUUUAAGCCUGUAGCUUUGGCAUCUGAUCUGUGAGUUUGACUUUUACCAUGUUGUGCUUUUUCUUUCAACUCCUUAGCUGAGGAUUCUAUGGGCAAAAGUAGCCAACCAAGCAGUUUCAGGGGUUGAGGCGUUGAGCUUAUAUAGCCAAGUCUUGUCCAUGAAAUGUUUUGGAAAAAAAUAAGAUCUGUUGUGGACAAAUUGUUUCAUUUACAUUUAUAUCAUUUCUUAAAUAUCAAUUUGGGUGCUUUUCUUUUUGUUGUUGAUAUUUUUACUAAAACUUGACGUUAAAUUUUGUAAGGAAAGACAUAUCCUUAAAAAUGAUUGGCAUACAUAGAGGUCAUACUGUCCAUUUCUUUUCAAGCUGCGAAAGCACUUGAGAUUAAUAUAUAUUUUUUUAUAAGGUAACAACUUGUAUAUAUAUCAAAAGUCAACACCAGGGGUGUUUCUGGAAGGUAAUUACAACCUCCAUAAAAAGGAGUCAAUGGAGGGCUAAAACAGAGAACUAAUUUUUUUUUUGAUGACUGUGGUGUCCAGGCCAGCUUUCUCGCACAUCGACUAACAUUUUACCAGAAAAAAACAGAGAAUUAACAGCUAUCUUUAUUACACUUUGCCUAUCAGUUCUAUGAGAUCUCAUGUAUCCUCAAAAAGAUUAUUUUUACACCAAAAGAAGAAGAGACUAAGACAGUUCAUCCUAAAUAAGUUGAUGGAUUUGCUAAAAAUUUCAAAGAGUCUUGAAUUUCUUUCCUUCCAAGCCAACACACCAGAUGCAGGCUGGAAUGAUUUGCCACCAGUGCUGAGAAUAGUUGAAUUUGUGGUGAAAUGCCUGUUGUAUGUUCAAACAGUGGUGCCUCUUAGCUAGUGUUUGACCAUAAAUUCCCAAAUAUUUUUAGGAAACCAGAUUUGGGUGAAGUUAGGAUUGAAAUUUCAACACGUAUUUGGCCAUAGUUUUUGGGAAACAUAAUCCACUUUAAAAAAAAAACACGAAACAUGGUUUAUACCCAUAAGUUCGACACAAAAUUAUCAUUUUUAUAAUGAACUUGGUAAUACAUUACCCAAAAAUCAUAACACAAUAUUUUAAUAAAAAUUGCUCAUAACACAAUUACCGGCUAUUACAUUUAGUUAUGUAGAUCCAUUGAUGUUUCUUCUCGAUUUCCUCCUUUCUACGAAAUAGCAAAAAUAGAAGAUAUACUAAUUUAUUUAGUGCUAUACUUAAUAGAAUGUGGUGGAAAUGGAUAGUUGGCCGUUGCGAAUACGUUUAAUGAGGGGUUGGGUAGAUAUAAUUAUAGUUGGAGUCAUAAUUGAUGUUUACUUUAGUAUAAAAUAUAGAAGUUUGGGGUAAGCUUUAAAAUUUUAAAAGAUGCAAGUAUAUUUUGGCCCAAAGUUUGCAUUUCUUUUGUUGUUGCAUAUUUCGGGAUUAUGCCAAACAAUUUCUGCAAAUCCCCCGCCCCCCAAAAAAAUAAAUAAAUGGUCCUUAGUGAUAUCCCUAUCUCGGUUCCACAGGUAAAGCAUUUAAAAAGAGGAAUAGAAGUGCUUAUCAGCAAAUAGAAAAAGAAAAAAAAAACUGGAGGAGAUCUGGAUUAACUUACUACUUGAUCAAAAAGAUCUGUAUUAACUUACAAUAGUUUGUGGCAAGGACAAAUCAUCGAAGAGCUGUUGAGCCUAUGAUGGUGGCACCUCACAAGCAACUGGCCUUAAGAAAGUGAUGGAUAAAAUUUUUCCAAUUGAGCUCCUGACAUGUUGGUCAAAGAAAAAUCCAAUGUCUUCAACCUUUUCCAUGCUUAGGAAAAUAGUGUUUCUUGUCAAGAGAGAUACCAUUACUUCUCCUUUUCUAGUGCUUGUUGUUGAACUAUCUCCUGUUUCUGAAUUAUUGUUAACAGAGAGUCAUGCUCCAUUUUAUAUCAUGCCAAAUGUUUCUGUGGCUGUUAUCCCCAAGUCACAAGCUAGAAUUCUUUUACUUGAGAUGACAGCCUUAGCAGGCUACUAAUUAAACUAGAAAAUUAAGUGAGAUAUUGAGUACUUUUAGCUAGUCUUUCAAAUAGUGGGUUGAAAAUCAAUUUGUAGACACUCUGUUAGCCGUUUCAACCCAAAACUUAGACGGGCCAAUUUUGAAUUCAACCUAUUGUCACCUAUAUUUAAGUAUUGGGACACUUCCACAGACCUCCCUCCAGGUUUGGUUUCGUAAUAUUAACCUCACUUGUGCUUUGUGAUAUGAUGUCUGCCUCCAUUAUACUGUUUUUUUUUGUAACAGUUGUUUGAAUCUAUUUAUUUUUAAUGCAAAAAUAAUUAUAAUUUGACCAGUUUGUCCUUUCUAAUUUAUCAUCAAAUUUUAGUUUUAAGAAAAAUGCUUUUUGAGAAGUAAGAAUAUCAAUGAAAAGUGAGAAGCAGAAACUUGCCACAUUAUUAUCUGAAGCACCCACUAUGCUACAAGUAUAAAAUCAUAAUUAGGCAAAAACUUGACAAUCCCACCUAGCUGAAGCAUCCCACAGUUACACAACCCAUUAUAACUGCUUGACGUAAUUAAUGUCCCACCCCAACUAAAUUUCAUAUUGUCCAAGAUCAAAAAGCGUUACAUUAGUCUCUUCCCACUUUUCACAUCCUAAAUGUUUUCAUCAAUAUUGUGGUAAGUUUCCUCUUCUCUACGAAAUUAAGUAACUUUGAAACUCAAAAGUGAUGAUAAAUUCGAAAGGGAAAAUUCAUCGUACGCACUUAAGGGUGUCACCUAGUGGUCAAUGAAUUGGUUGAGGACUAUGAAGUCUCAAGUUCAUAUCCCAGCAGAGGCAAAACACUAGGUGAUUUCUUCCCAUUUGUUUUAGUUACACAGUUAUUUGGUACCUGUUGUUGUUGGUGGGAGGUGGCAAGUAUCCUGUGGAAUUAAGUUGGUGCAAGCUGGCUCUGGCCCACAAUUAUCAAAAAACUGAAUUCAUCAUAUGUUAGUUAUUGGCAUUAAUGAUUAGUUUUAUGAAGACAAACUUGGAGAAAGGUCAGUAAAUUUAUCCCUUAAUUAUUUUACAUACACAACAUGUCAGUAAAUUUGGGACUGAUUGGGUAGGUUGCAUCACUUGCACUAAUUUUGAUACCUUUAGUUGAUAGAGAGUGAAAUUAUAUUAAAGGUUCAAUUACAAGAAGAGGACAUUGACGAGGAGCUCUCUGAAUUAACAGAAGUUAUUGGGAUCUUUUGUUAUUCACUUACCUGCGAUUCAACCUGUUGUUAUGAAGGAGGGAUAUAUAAUAGAUAGAUCUCAACAGUGGAAGGUAAAUAAUGAAUCUUAUGGCUUUUUGAUAGGUCAAAAGCUGCAAGAGCAAAAAAAUUGCUUCGGAAGAAAGAAAUGUUAAAGGAAGCAAAAAAAGCUGCAGCUUUGGCUGCUGGAGCUGACUGGAAAAGUGAUGAUUCGGACAGUGAGUUUCCUGUGAGAAGCCCAUAGCCAAUGUCUUCUGUUAUAGUACAUGUUACAUACUUUUUAUACCCUUGAUUUUAACCUAAUACUUCCUUCUCUUUCUUGUAUGCUAUCCUAAUUCUUAAGGAGGAGCACGUAUACCGAGAGCCUCCACUACCAGAUCUUCUAAAAGACGAGGAACACCUGUGCCUUAUUGUAGAUGUUAGUAUUUCUUGCUUCCCAUCUCAUCUCUUUCUUUAAUUUUUUUCUUGCUUGUUUUGAUUGUUAUCUUUUUCUUUCUUUUCCUUGAUGAUCAUGUCAGUUUCAUAUGAGCUCUUGUUCCAUUUUCACACAUUAAUGCACUUGUUGUGUUUAUUCGUUUUUAGACGACACAUGCUUACAGUUUUUAUACCAGUACAGAUAGUUAUUAAGUCUAAGCAGAGGUAUGAGAUGUCUUCUUUGACAUGUGUAGUUGAAUAUGACAACAUACACAGGAAAUUUCAAUGCUAAAUAGAUCUCCAAUUCUCUUCUGAUUCUUUGCUUGCUCUUUUUACUAGUACUUGUAGUUCUGUCAGACAGAAUGCAAUUUUUCACUUUAAAGUCCUUUUUUGUAGCUCUGCAAGGCUUUAAUAUCCUUGCAAAGGUAUUGGGAUGCACUUGAGAUCAUUAAUCUGUGUCUAAAAUUGGCAUCCAGCACAUUGUCUGUUGAGAAAAAAGAGGAGCUGCAAGCUCUAGGAGCUCGUAAGUUUCAACUUGUAGUGUUAGCACUCUCUCCCUUUACUUUUGUUUGUAUAAACUACUUUGAGACAUCUGUUGGUAGGUUGAGAUAUACUAGGUUUGAUUAAUGUUGUAAAGUGAAAGGCAGAGAUGCAUGCUUGCUGAAACGUUCUUUUUCUAUCUUGUAGAAGUAGGAUAUAACAUUGCUGAUCCCAUCCAUGGGUUCGAUUGUGCACGUUCCAUUGUCGGUCAGCAUCCUUACAGCUUUGCAGCAUGGAAUUGCUACUACAAAGUAAUAUCAAGGUAUCAGCAAAUUUGUAUCAGUAUUCUGAACGCUCUUCUGUUUUUGUGGUUGGUACUAGUGGAAUCGGUUUCUGUUUCCCUUGUUAAGCAGGUACUUGGCAGAAUUAACUGAAUAAUAUAGGUAAUUAACUGUUUGUAAAUGUUUGUUUGCACUCGCUGAUUCUGCCGAGCUCCCGUGAGUUGAGAUAGGGAGAAUGUGGCUAAUAAGUUUCUUGUGCCUACACUAUGUUGGAAAUAUUUCAUACUGUGCAUUUAAUAAAUUUUAUUACAUGCACUACUAAAGUAACAAGGAUUGUUUUUGUGGUUGGGCAUUUUUGGGGACUAAGUAACAGUCAGCAAGCACUGGCAUGGAUUGGUUCUUAGGGUUUAUAUAUCCUAAAUGUACUACAGAAAGUUCUUGGAGGGACAUGGCUGUCAUUGGUCGUGUUGGAACCCACCACCCAUCCAGUAGUAUUUUGAGUAUAACAUUAAGGUUUUUUUUAAGAUCGGUAAAUGAUAAAGAGUACCACAUUAAGGUUAUGAAUAGCUAUUUGAUUCAUGCUCCUUGUUUGACUUCUUUCCUUCAAUAGAAUAGUGUUAUUUUGUAUUAUUUGAAUUCAUUUUGGCGUCUUUAACUUCCUAGCUUUUCAGGUUUUCCAAUUAUUAUAUCCUAUACUCUAAUAAAUUAAAGUAUAAUGAUGUAUUCACAUCCUACAACAACAAUAUGCUCAGUGUAAUCCCACAAGUGGGGUCUGGGGAUGGUAAUACGUAGACCACACCCGCUUGUAUUAAUCUUUGUGAUAAUUGUAUUUUUUCCACCACCUCAUCGUCCGUGUUUUGAUCCAGCAGCCUGCUUUUCCAGUAGCAUUUUGAGAAUCAUAAUUUGAUUUAUGCUCCUCAAUUUUGUUUGACCUGAUUUCUAUUUGAAACUGUAUAUUGUCUGUCCUUCAACAGCAAUUUUACAAUCAUCAGGAAGUUAAUUGACAUAAAUAAUACAUAUUUUAUAUUAUUUUGAAUUCACUUUGACAUCUUUAGAUCUCCAAGCAUUUCGCGUAUCAUUAUUUCCUAUACUCUUAACAAAUUAAAACAUAAAAUUGUAUUCGGACAUUCUAGUAUAAAACUUUGUGCUUGCUAAAGUAGGUGGUUCAGUUUGGGAAGGAGGGACUAUCUUAUUUUUUUGAGAUAAAGGUAACUGAAGGAGGGACUAUCUUAUGCAUUUAAUGCAAAUACAGUUCUCAGAUUUGAACUUUAACACAAUUAAUUGAUACUUUUUAGUAACUUCAGUUGUUUUUUCGUCAGCCUAGUAAUCUACUAGUCUUUCAAUUGUUUUCCUGUCCACUGUAGUUUUGAAACUUAAACAUCUUUGCCAUCUUGUCUUACAAAUUCAUGACUGCAUGAUCUUAUCUCUGAUUUAUUAUUGUAACUUGUUUGUUUGAUUAUGGAUGAUCAUGUACAGACUAGAUAAUCGACAUUCGAAACAUAGCAAGUUCUUGAGCCAUAUGCGUGCCAAACACAAAGAUUGCAUACCACCAAUUAUUAUUGCUGGUCAUCAGUUUACCACGAUCAGCCAUCAUCAAGAUGCGGCUAGAGAGUAUUUAGAAGCUUAUAAGCUGAUGCCAGAUAAUCAGUUGAUAAAUCUCUGUGUCGGUAUGGGUUUCUUCUAACAAUCAAAUAAAAGAAGGCAGACUUGACAUUGUUUUAAUCUUUCAUGGUAUCAGUUUCAAGGUUUGACCUUUGCCUUUUUUUUUCCAGGAAGUGCUAUAGUAAAUGUAGCUCUUGGAUUCAGACUUCUGAACAAGCAUCAGUGUGUACUACAGGGAAUGGCUUUCCUGCAUAAUAAUUUGAGGCUUUCAGGAAACAGUCAGGUUCUACUUUGAACUUGCCUAGCCUUCUUUGAAGUCUGAAAUACGACUUUUUUGUGACGACCUAAAGUUUAAUAUUUUUCUUUUCCAUUACAUCAACGUAGUUAGAAGUGUUGGGGGCAUCUAAAGGAACCCCUUGAAUCUCUUUUGCAGGAAGCACUCUUUAAUUUUGGUCGAGCUUGUCAUCAUGUUGGUCUUGUUUCUGAAGCUGCCAUAUAUUAUCAAAGAGUACUUGACACUCACGAAGACGAUUAUCCCAUCCCAAAGCUUCCUAAUGAGAACCUAGAUCCCGUGGAAAAUAGAAAACCAGGUUACUGUGAUCUACGCAGAGAAGCAGCAUAUAAUCUGCACUUGAUUUACAAAAAUAGUGGAGCACAUGAUCUGGCAAGACAGAUACUGAAAGAUUACUGUACUGUAUGACAAUGACAAUAUGCGCUAUAAGGACAAGAUAGAUGUAUGCAGAUUUUAUCCCUACCUUUGUGGAGGAGAGAGAUUGUUUCCGAAACAAGUGUAAUACAAACUUUGUUAUAAUAAUUCGCUCUUGUCUGAUUGGAUAUGGAUCAACAACUCAAACCAAACAAACAACUGACCAAAUAGCAUGAGCCAAAAAAGUGAGUAUAAACGCUUGCAACGUGAGUUGAACAAUAAACCAAGUAUUGAAACCAUGACUAUCCCACAUUCUCAACCAAACAUCUUCAUUGAGAGUAAACUCAAACGUUAAUAUUACAAAAAUUCAGUAUAUACAUUGCAUAAUUUUUUAUUCUUGGACCAACCGAAAAAAGGAUUACAAAUAAAAUGGAGAGAUUAUCUAGGACUUUCUUUGUAUAGAACUCACAUAGUAUUUGUUAUAAUAUGGUUACUGACGGAAAUGAAAGGAACUCAUGUUAUUAUUAAUUAAUUAAAUAUAUACAUGAGCCGUCAAGAGCAUGAAAAUAGUAACAAGAGAUAUAUGGGAGUUUCCCAGAGCAAUGGGUUUUAUGCUAACGAUCAAUAUUGAGUCUAUCAAAUAGAAUUUUCAAUUACACACCUAAAAUAUCACGGAUUAAUGUCAUUCGAGUCGCUGAAGUCUUUAGCAACAUUUAUAUAGAACUAAAUAAUAUUGGUUAUAAAUAUUAGUAUUAUAUUAUUACCGCUAAAUAUAAUAAGAAAAUAAUUAUGUUAUUGCUCGCAAAUUAUUUUAUUUAUAUAUAGUGUAUGCAUGUAUAUGGUUAUAGAAAUCCAAAUAAAUUUCUCAAAUAAGUACUUUAAAUAUGUAAUGACCAAUGGAUCCUUAAAAUAUACUAGUGGAAUGUUGGUUGAGAAAAAAGAAAAGAAAAGGAAUUACACGAGUGUAAAUAAUAAUUAAAAGAAACAAACAAAUGACAUGGUGUAAUCAACAUCAACUGCGGUAGUUCACAGAGUAAGUGGAUGGUAACUGUUAUCCAUGGAGAGUGAAUAUGAGAAUUUAUAGAAAUAAAUCAUGACGCGGUCAAAACUAAUUUUUUGUCCAUUAAUUAACCUUUAUACACUUUUUUUUUGGGUCGAAACUCGAAACUAGUAAUUUUUUCUUAUUCCUACAAAAAGCUCUCACCUUUAUCUUCUUCCUUUUUUUCAGUUAUACUAACAAAAAAAAACAAAACAAAAACAUACCACCCUGUACUCAUCAUAAUAAUAUACUAAUCUUCUUCACAGAUCCCAAUUCCAAAUCCUUUAAUUUAUGGUAUUUGAUUUGAUUAUAUUGUUCGGAUUAACUACGAAGAAGAAGAAGAAGGAGUAUUGAGGAUGUCUGGGUUAUGGAGAUGGAGAAAUGUAAAAUAUACUGCAUUUAGGAAUAUGAUUUUUCGAAACCAGCAACAACAGCAGCAGCAUCGGAAUUUGCAGCAUCGAAAUUUGCAGUAUCGGAAUUUGGUGAAUUGGUUACAUGUGAAGCGGAGAGAGACUAUAAUUGGGGUGCAAGAAAGGUAUAAAUGGGACCGUGGUGGUGGUGGUGGUUCUUCCGAUGAGUAUAGAACUGCUCCGAGAAGGAUUAGGGCGGAAGCUUAUUGUCCUCGUUGUUCUAAGCAUAUGGAUCUUCUUUUCUCUAAUCGAAAUCAUCAACUCAUUCCUCCUCCUCCUUCUAAUGAUGAUGAUGAUAACAGUAAUAGUAGUAAUAGUAAUAAUAAUAGUACUGAUUCGAAAGGUGAAGCAGGUUCAGGUCCUUAUCAGGCUGUGAAUCUUUGCCCUAAUUGUAAAACGGCUUAUUAUUUUAGACCGUAUAAGAUGGCGCCACUUCAAGGUAGUUUUUUUGAGAUUGGAAGGAUGAAAGGGAAUGGGAAUGGUAAGAGAGUGAAUAAUGAUGAAGAUAAUGGGAAGAGACAGAAGCCGUCUUUUUGGGAGUCGUUGAAAUCGUAUGGUGGUGAGCCUCCUGAAAAUUGGACACCACCUGGUAAUGGGCUGGCUGUGCAUACACCUCCAGGUCCACCAUUUGCUCCUGGACUUAAUCUGAUACGGGCUAAUGGAACUGAAGGGAAAAAUGGGGGUGGUAAAGAUGAGGGUAGUGAUGAGAAGAGUGGGUGGGGUGGGUCUAAUUUGGGGAAGAAUCUGCCAACACCAAAAGAGAUCUGUAAGGGACUUGAUACGUUUGUUAUAGGUCAAGAGCGUGCCAAGA
rnacentral:lncRNA from 1 species